rnacentral:rRNA from 1 species
GAUGAGCGCUGGCGGCGUGCCUAAUACAUGCAAGUCGAGCGAACGGACGAGAAGCUUGCUUUUCUGAUGUUAGCGGCGGACGGGUGAGUAACACGUGGAUAACCUACCUAUAAGAUUGGGAUAACUUCGGGAAACCGGAGCUAAUACCGGAUAAUAUUUUGAACCGCAUGGUUCAAAAGUGAAAGACGGUCUUGCUGUCACUUAUAGAUGGAUCCGCGCUGCAUUAGCUAGUUGGUAAGGUAACGGCUUACCAAGGCAACGAUGCAUAGCCGACCUGAGAGGGUGAUCGGCCACACUGGAACUGAGACACGGUCCAGACUCCUACGGGAGGCAGCAGUAGGGAAUCUUCCGCAAUGGGCGAAAGCCUGACGGAGCAACGCCGCGUGAGUGAUGAAGGUCUUCGGAUCGUAAAACUCUGUUAUUAGGGAAGAACAUAUGUGUAAGUAACUGUGCACAUCUUGACGGUACCUAAUCAGAAAGCCACGGCUAACUACGUG